rnacentral:rRNA from 1 species
GUGGUGCGGUAUCCAGGACUUUUACUUUGAGGAAAUUAGAGUGUUUCAAGCAGGCAUACGCCUUGAAUACAUUAGCAUGGAAUAAUAAGAUAGGACCUCGGUUCUAUUUUGUUGGUUUCUAGAGCUGAGGUAAUGAUUAAUAGGGAUAGUUGGGGGUAUUCGUAUUCAAUUGUCAGAGGUGAAAUUCUUGGAUUU